GCUGCAUAAAUUCACCCUGCACCAGGUCCGUCACGACCUGGAAAGCACCUGGACUUGUCAAUACUUAUCAUCAGGGUUAUAUCAGGAUCCUAGAGCAUGUGAAUACUCUUACGUAUCCGUACAAAUAUCAACGUAUUAAUUAACAGCACAUAUGGUUUGUGGACUUUACCUGACUGAGCGUGAGGGUGACAUCGUCAUUUUGCAGUUGAGCUAUCAUAAUUGACGCGACUGCCAGAACAUAAUCUCCUGUCAUGGUCACCUGAAAAUUGAGCAACAAAUCAUGAAAACAUACAUUAAGAUAUUUUUCCAGAGGAUAAAAAUACGGAGAAGUUUGUUUAAGAUUAAGUAAAAUGAAAUGAUCCGAUCUUUCUCGUGGAAAGUAAUCCUGGCAUUUUAAUUACCAAAAUGCGCAGUCGCUCAAUAAAGACAAUUAACGAAGGUAAUAUACUAUGACUUGAAAACAAAAUCUUCCCAAAUAAUAUACUUUGAUGUAUAUAUAUAUAUAUUUAUUUAUAAAUAUCUAAUUAUACAUUUAUAAAUGUACAAAUAAAUAUACUGUAAAUUCCGGAAGAUUUUGCAGAUAAUUUUAUCGUUCAGCUUCCAUUGUAUUAUUAACGAUAAAUUGCGAGCCUUUCGUAGGUUGUAAAAGUUAAGAAAGAUGAAACGGCUAUGCACGAUUAAAGAACGUGUUUCCUUUCACUGAAUAUCUUUCGAAAUAGAAGCAGGCAAGUUAGAUCUGGCAAAUGUUCGAUAUUGAUGGAUGACACGUGCGUUUGCUCUCGUAAUAGUUCCCUCUCCCCUCUUAUUUUUAUUUAAAUAGCACAUCAAAACGAUACACAUUGAUCGAGAUACGUUUGCAUAUUAAUUAAUUUAUCGCAAUGAAGAUCUUUCCACUUGUCUGGUUUUAUACGAACAACUCGAUGAUCUUACUGGGUAAUCGAGGCUUGGCAAUGCGAGAGGAGGCCACUUUCUUUUGUUAGUCUUACACAUGGACACAGUUUGGGUCUACGAUUAAGGCGUUAAAGAAGCUGUCGAACGCGGUUGGAAUAUCAGAUACAGAGUGACGCCAGGAAACCAGAGAAUAGCGUCUGCCGAUGUUAAAAGCUAUUGGAAAUCAAAGGUUUCAGAGUAUUGUAGCUUGGAUACGACGGAUAUUCAUCGGCGGUUUUCCUUGCUCACCACCGGGAUAACCGCAAACAUAUGCAUCGAAAUCGAAACGCUUGUCGUGGUCGCAUCGCCGUCGACGACCUAUUCUACCAUUCGACGAUUUAACGCGUGCUUAUUCUGGCCCUUAUUUGCAUUGCAGCGACUUUCUAGCCACGUAGAAUAGAACAACGGCAUGCAAGAUAUUCUACCUCGUUUCUUCGAUCGAAAUAGGAAAGUGCAUGGAAAAGAUUAACGCGAAGGACGAUCAUUUCAAUUGUGAUCUCUCUAAUGUACAAUUACAAUCGUUGCCUCUAUUUCGAAAUUAACACGUUGUCAAUCAUGCCACGUUCUUCGAACUUUCUUACGCCUCGACCUCGCUUUAGUUUUAAUCGAGAAACAGAUGUUUCGUGUUUCAAAGAAAAUCAUUAGUAUACAAUUUGACCGAGAGAUCAAUAUCAAUAACGAUUAUAUCGUUUUGUCAAUGUCUUUGUGAAAUUGAAAAAUCUUCUAAUGACGAGGGAUAAGAUCCUAAAUAAGAAAAUGACAGAAAAAUAAUUUACAUUUGGAAACCUACAGUCUGAAGAAGAAUCGAUUAUGUGGUUAGUGCUGUCUUUGUUCAAUGAUACGAUAUAAAUAAGACAGGCGAUUAAUAAAUUGGUUAAGAGUUAGCAAUGUGGAUGAAAUAUCAAGUUGUUGCAUUAUAAAUAGACGUGCGUGUGAUUGAAUUAUAACGUUGAAAUUACAUUUUUUUUUUUUCGAAUAAUUAACAAUCAAUUUUCAACGUAGAGAUUCAAGAUAUUAUAUGUAUAGGAUCUUUCGGAAUUUUAUCAAUUUUAAAAAUGAAAGUAUUCAUAGGAAUUACAUAAAUGAUCAUACACGUAUUUUACAUGUUUUUAGAUUCGUAAUAUGCCCCGUUAAAUUAGGAUGAAUAAUAUGAAUCAAAAUGGUCAAAUUUUCUCUCU